UCCGCUUGGGCGUAGGUCAUGCUGAGCUCAUAGCCAGCCCCAUCCCCCAUCUCGUCACCCGCCUGCUAUCAUCUGAGGGCUCUCCUCUUCUCGGUUUGUAGGAAAUCUCUGCCCUCUCCGGGGCUCUUCCUCUUUUUUUUUCUCAUCCUCGUUUCCCCCCCAUUCCGGCUUCCGUCCUCUCCCAUCAACCUCUCUCCUCCGGUGAAUCGAUCCUCGUACUAUCCAGAGAAUAAGGGAUCCUGUUGGCAAAAUGAUUUUUCUUUGUCAGGUUUUGCUCUGUAUGGUAAGAUAUCUAUAUCUCUGCUGUAUAUAGAUGCAAUGUACCUAAAUAAUUGGUGGUUCAGGUGAUUCAGAGAUGCUCUGUAUUUAUGGCUGCUACUGACUCCCAUUGUUCAGAAAUUUAUUUAAUGCUCUUUUUUUUUUGUGCCAAUAAAUAUAUUAUGAAAUCUAAGCUGUUCUGUACAGAAAGGACAAUUGUUGUUCAUUAUGAUUAUUACUGAAAUAUCUUCUGCAAUUAAGUAAUUCAAGAAGUUAACAACAUUAUUUCCUCAAGUUCCUUAGUGCCAUCAGAUCACAAGCCAAACCUCACAUUCCUAAAAUAAUACUACUUGGUAACCAUAAGCAUAAUCCAACAAAUCUCAUGCCUUUUAUUUGGUAUAUUAUCCUAUUACCUCAAUAUGAUUCAUGCAAGUAUAAUCAUCAUAUGACUAAUUUGAUAGUUGCUAGAGAUGAAGUUCCCAAAUCCAUACAUAACGACAUAUAGGGAUGGUGGUAUAUACCUUAAAUGUCUUUAUAUUCUUCAGUAUCCAUCUAAAUACACAUUAUCUGUACAUGGAUCUGCAUGAAGUGAGUUGCAUAUGUAUAUUUGUCUAAUACUAGCAAGAAUUCUUUUCUUAGGACAGCGCACCUGCUCCAAAAUCUUCAUGGAAACUCAUCCCUACACUUGAACCCACUUCUGGUAGCUAAGGGCCAACUUCUCAUGUCAUAUUAGUGAAUAAAGAAAUAAAAAUGAGUUCUUGUAAUAUUCAUCAAUUAAAAAAUCAGUGUUUUAAGGACUGAAAUGUGCUGGGUGGUAUCGGGUGUAACCCAUUUGCCUGGUAUGGUACCAUUUUUGGUCCAAUUCUGGGGCUUGGUACACCCCCUUACCAACACAUGGUAUGAGUGCUUUGCUGACUCCAACAUUGUACCAUGUGCAGAUAUGAAGAAUAUUGUAUCAUACAAUACUAUACCAGUAUGUUACUCGUACUCAGCCUAGCACUAGAACUUACAUUAUUGAAAGAAUCUAUAUGCGAAUUUCACCAAAAAAAAAAAAAGAAUAUAUAUGCGAAGCAAGAAAGAUAAACCAGUUCAAUAGUUUUAUAAGGUGUCAAUUUUUUUUAUAAUAUUUCUUAUGUUUUGAUGAAAAUGACGUGGUAUUUGCUUUCUUUUUGUUAGCCACCUUAGAGCUGACAUCUCUACCAGGUUUGAACAUGCACUCUUUGUAUUUUCUUUGGAUGCCUUUUCUUACCUUCAGUCCGAAAUGUUUUCAUCUUGGCCUAGAAAUUGGUUCCUAUUGGUAUUGGAAACUUGCCUGCCCUUGCUAUCUCAACUGAUGUAAAGAAACAUGUCCUGAGUUGACAUUGGCUGAUACUGAACAUAUUGGCCUUGAUUUUUUUAAUCUUUUGGGAGCAACAAUGUUAAAUGGGAUUUUAAAUUAAUAAAAAGUUAAAGCCAAUGCUUUAAAUAUAGUUAAUCCCAGUUUUCAUAUAUUGGCCAAGCACUAGGAAUGUCUUGCUACUUUGCGAAUUUUUGCAGCCUUCCAUCUUCACUGACAUAAACCGAGAUAUUGGUACAACUUGGCUCCGGUCAUCCAGUGAGAUGGCCAAGAUACAAUCCAGAAACUUUGUCAAGUAACCUUUCAUUGUAUAACAUUGUUGUCUUGUUAGGACACUUUAUCUAAGAGAUUGCUAUAUGCUUCUCUGUUUAGUUCUGUGAGCUUCUUUGCUUGAUGAGCAGUUUGAUGUGUUGUAAAAUUUUCAUUUUGAUCUCCACAAACCAAGACUUUACGUCUAUUUCUAAGAUAACGAUCUAAUUGACAAAAUUGAAAAUUGGAGAAAAAAAAAUCCAAAUUCAGAAGGUUUGCUCUGACCUUUCCAAAAUUGGGUGCUUGUAAAUAGUAUGCAUAAUUAAUUUUUGUGACUUACAUGUUUAUCUACCACCUCUUUUGUUUUUUAUUUGUAGUUGUAUUUUAAUGCUGAGAUCUGCUGGGUUUAUCUCCAUAAUAGAAAAUAUUUCAGGUUUGUUUUGAGCAAGGUUGUAAAUCAAGUUCAAAAUGAUCAUAUAAGGGUUGGUUUCUUGAAACAUCCGGAAUUGCGAUCUAAGACAUCUUAUUUUGCAGGUUGAGAGCUUUGUGAAACUUCUAUAGUUGCCUGGCUCUAAGAGAAUUUCUUAUAUAUCAUGAUUCUAACCAAACAUUUAGCUCCCAUAAGGUUGAUGUAUACCCUGUUUUUAUACAUCAUCAGAUGAUCUUGAAUUUGUUUGAAUCAUCAGGCAAAUCCUUCUUUAUUUGCUUGUACUCUGGUUCUAAGAACUUAUGUAAAUGAGCAAAUGGAGAUUUAGAAUGUCUAUAUUAUACAAAAAAGACAAUAAUUAAGUCAAUGUUAUGAAUCAUUUGGUUGAUUGUGAACUAACUGUGGUUCUUAUUUGACCGGUAAGGAACGGAAAAUUGAUAGAGAACCAUGAAAAUAAAGCUGUGCAUGCAGAAAGAGUUUUUAUCGGAUGAAGGUUUUCGUCUAAAUGUAGUCAAAAUCUCGCAUAUACCAAUUCCACACCCUGUGAAAGGAACAUUUGCAAAUGAAUUUUGUUAUUGACUGUUAUAAGGAUUAGAGAUUGGAAUGGUAGUAUCUUUAACUUUUCCAUGUUAAAUGCGUUUCUAGUUUACCUUUGGCAUUCCUGCUUCAUUUAGCUUGUGUGCAGAAAGUUUCACUUGCACUUUUAAUAUAAAUGAAUGUAAUUCAUUUUAUAUUUUGGUCUCCCUGUUUUUUUUAAAAAAAAUUACAGUUUACUUCCUACCUAGGGUCAAACCUUUCUCACGUGCAUCGAUGUUUUGCAAAUUCUUUGCUCCGGUACUUUAGACAGCUUGAAUCUCUUAAAAAAAUUGUCAGCUUGCAAUUUCCAUGGAUAAGUGCAAUCAUAUCUCACUGAUAUUAGCUUAAGCUGGGUUGCAAAGAGACUCGAAGUGAUAUGUAGCUUCCUUGCAUAUGAUUGAUUUCAUCAUGAAAAUAGUAGCUCAAGUCAUUUUGAAGAACCAUCUUUUGAUAUUGUAUUGGCCAACGCUUGGUCAUAAUUAUACUUUUCAUUUUCAAGUCUAUUACCAACCAAGCAAAUUUGGUAUAUGCCUGCGAAUCAAAUUCUUGUGAUUUGGCGAAGCUGUUUUGAUUAUUCUAAUUCUAUGAUAUGCCCUUAGAUCCAUAAUGACUAUCAUACCUGUAUAGAAUGUCCUUUUCUUUGGAAACAGAAUAAUGCAAAAUUUAUUCCACUUCACAUAUCACCAUUUGCAGCAUGUGAUAUACAUCUUAGGACUCUUGUAUGGUCCUUUAAUGGAGACUGUCAGAUAUGUAUUGAACUUUCUUUUACUUGUUUGGAAUGUUAAUAGCUUAAGUUUGUGUAUUUAACUUGUUAUCUCUCAUUACGCACUAUCCAACAUCCUUAAUUAGUUUGUGUAAAUGAGCUCAUGGUCAACGUUUGUCAUACUUAAUGCUGCCUUAUUAUUUUGUACGUCUGUAUUUCUUAUAUUUUUUGCAAUAGAACUACGGUGGAGUUUUUUGAGUUAUGUAUUUCCAUUUUGAUGGGGCACUCCAACUUUGUCCACAUUUGCAGAAGCGCCACAGCGUCACUUCAACUUGUUUUUAAUGCUUCAGGUUAUGGACGUAUUGUAGCCCCAAUAGCAUCCAGCAUAUAAGAUAUUUGUAGCAUGAGCUGGAAAUAGACUUCAACAUUCUAAUAAUAUUGCCAAAGGGUCUUCUUUCGUAUCUUGUGAAAAAAGAAAUACUGAUCGAUUGAAUUAUACGACAAUAAGCCAUACAGAUGGAUGAAUUAUCGAAAGCUGAUCUUAUUCACAUUUUGGUUA